AACGAACGCUGGCGGCAUGCCUAACACAUGCAAGUCGAACGAGAACUUCGGGCCUAGUGGCGCCCGGAUGCGCAAAGGGUGGAAUAAUGCCCUUAGGUUCGGCAUAACUCUCCGAAAGAGGUGCUAAUACCUGAUUAUAUCUCCGGACCAAAGCUUUAUCGACUGUGGUUGGGCGCGCGUUGGAUGAGCGAGUUGGUAGGGUAAAAGCCUACCAAGGCGACGAGCCAUAGCUGGGCUGAGAGGAUGCACAGCCACACUGGGACUGGGACACGGCCCAGACUCGUGCGGGAGGCAGCAGUGGGGAAUAUAGGACCAUGGGCGAAAGGCUGAUCCAGCAAUGCCGGGUGAGUGAUGAAGGCCUUAUAGUUGUAUAGCUCUAUUAACCAGGAUGAUUAUGACAGUACCUAGAGAAUAAGCUCCGGCUAACUACGUG
rnacentral:rRNA from 1 species